rnacentral:lncRNA from 1 species
AGGCCGCCUGCCCAGGCAGGUCAAGGACGUACUCAUCAGGGACGAGGUAACCAGAGUGGCAGAGGUCGUGGAGGACGACAGCCAGCUCAGGGACGUGUUAACCACAUAUCGCUGCAAGAUGCUCAGAACCAUCCAGACUUGAUUAUGGGUACGUUGAAUGUUCUUGGUCAUUUUGCUAGAGUUUUGAUUGAUUGUGGUGCUACACACUCUGUGAUUUCUCAUACAUUUACUCAAAUGACACAACCUCAUCCUUCACCUCUAGGGUUUGAUUUAGAGUUUGCUAUGCCUAGAGGGGAUAAAUGUUAUGUUGAUAGUUUUUACCCUGGGUGUCCAGUGAUGGUAGAUAAUGUCAUUAUGCCUGCUAAUCUUAUCCCGUUAGACAUCGUGGAUUUUGAUGUGAUUUUAGGGGCGGAUUGGUUGCAUUAUAAUCGCGCCCUUAUAGAUUGUUACGGGAAAUCAGUUACUUUUCUUCGUCCUGGACUACCUGAGGUUACUUUUGUGGGUGAAAGAAGUGGGGUGAGGCAUGGUGUUAUUUCAGCCAUAAGGGCAAAGAAGUUGUUAUCCAAGGGUUGUCAGGGAUACUUGGCACAUGUGGUUUUGAAUGAUGUUGAUUCCGGUAGUGUGGAGGAAGUCGGAGUAGUCAGACACUAUCCUGAUGUAUUUCCAGAUGAUUUGCCUGGAUUGCCUCCAGAUAGAGAUGUGGAGUUUUCGAUUGAAUUGCUUCCAGGUACGAAUCCUAUCUCUUUGACUCCUUAUAGAAUGGCACCAGCGGAAUUAAGGGAGUUAAAAAUUCAAUUGCAAGAGUUGAUUGAUAAAGGUUUCAUUCAGCCUAGUUCUUCACCUUGGGGAGCUCUGGUGUUGUUUGUAAGAAAGAAAGAUGGAACUUUAAGAUUGUGUAUUGACUACAGGCAAUUGAAUCGGGUGACGAUUAAAAACCGUUAUCCCUUGCCUCGUAUAGAUGAUUUGUUUGAUCAGCUCAAGGGUGCCUGUGUGUUUUCUAAGAUUGAUUUGAGAUCUGGGUAUUAUCAAUUAAAGAUUAAAGAUGAUGAUGUUCAUAAAACAGCUUUCAGGACUCGUUAUGGGCAUUAUGAAUUUUUGGUGAUGCCAUUUGGAUUGACUAACGCUCCUGCAGCUUUCAUGAGAUUGAUGAAUGAAGUAUUCCAGGAAUAUCUUGACAGGUUUGUCAUUGUUUUUAUUGAUGAUAUCCUGGUAUAUUCUAAGUCGAAAUCAGACCAUAUUCGACAUCUUAACUUGGUGUUAAGGAAAUUGAGGGAACACCGGUUAUAUGCUAAGUUUAGUAAAUGUCAGUUUUGGCUGGAUCAAGUGGCAUUUUUUGGGACAUGUGGUAUCAGCUCAGGGAAUUCAAGUGGAUCCUCAAAAGAUAGUAGCAGUGGAGAGUUGGGAACAACCUCGAACCGUCAGUGAAGUGCGGAGUUUUCUUGGUUUGGCAGGUUAUUAUAGACGGUUUGUUCAAGACUUCUCUAUGAUUGCCUUGCCAUUAACGAAGUUAACCAGGAAGGAUGUUAAGUUUGAAUGGGAUGAAAGUUGUGAGCAAAGUUUCCAGCAGUUGAAGUAUUGCCUUACUCAUGCACCUGUGUUAGUACUUCCUGAUGAUGAUGGUAACUUCGAAAUCUACAGUGAUGCUUCUUUGAAUGGUUUGGGUUGUGUUUUGAUGCAGCAUAGUAGAGUGAUUGCCUAUGCUUCUAGGCAGUUGAAGACUCAUGAAAGAAACUAUCCGACUCACGAUCUUGAAUUGGCAGCUAUUGUGUUUGCUUUGAAGAUUUGGAGACAUUAUCUCUAUGGCGAGAAAUGUAAGAUCUUUACAGAUCAUAAAAGCCUUCAGUACCUUUUCACUCAACAUGAUCUUAAUCUUCGUCAGAGAAUAUGGUUGGAAUUGUUAAGUGAUUAUGAUUGCACGAUUGAGUACCAUCCAGGUCGUGCAAAUAUGGUAGCUGAUGCUCUGAGUAGAAAACCUCAAGGGCGACUUAAUGCUUUGUAUGCCAGUCGUGUUCCUCUUCUGGCAGAGUUGAGGUCUACUGGAGUAGAGUUAGAAUUGGAAAAGCAAAGUGAAGCUUUUCUUGCCAAUUUUCAAGUCAAGCCAAUUUUAAUUGAUCGGGUGCUUGCAGCUCAAUCGUGGGAUGAAGAAAUCCAAAAGUUGAUCGGUUUAAGAAAGGAAAGGAAGAAGAAAGAUCUCAAGAUCCGAGGAUCAGAUGGUAUGCUUAUGCAAGAGAACAGAAUGUAUGUGCCUAAUAAUGAGGAACUGAAGAAGGAAAUCUUGGAUGAAGCAUAUUGUUCGGCUUAUGCUAUGCACCCAGGAGGAACUAAAAUGUAUCAUACCAUUCGACCAUUCUACUAUUGGCCGGGUAUGAAGAGGGAGAUUGCGGAGUAUGUUAGUAGGUGUAUUGUCUGCCAGCAGGUUAAGGCUGAAAGAAAGAAGCCGUUUGGAAGAUUGCAACCACUUCCCGUUCCCCAGUGGAAAUGGGAGAAUAUAACGAUGGAUUUUGUGUAUAAGUUGCCACGUACACAAAAUGGUUUUGAUGGCAUUUGGGUGGUUGUAGAUCGACUUACCAAAUUAGCACAUUUUAUUCCAGUAAGGGAGAAAUACUCUUUAAAUAAGUUGGCUCAGUUAUUCAUAUCGAAGAUUGUAAAGUAUCAUGGUGUCCCAGUGAAUAUUAUUUCUGAUCGAGAUCCAAGAUUUACUUCUAAGUUUUGGAUAGCUUUUCAAGAAGCUUUGGGUACUAGAUUGCUUUACAGUACAGCUUAUCAUCCACAGACAGAUGGUCAGUCAGAGAGAACUAUUCAGACACUCGAGGAUAUGUUGAGAUCCUCUGUGAUGCAAUUUGGUGAUUCUUGGCAUGAUCGCUUGGAUUUGAUGGAGUUUGCCUAUAAUAAUAGUUUUCAUUCGAGUAUUGGAAUGUCUCCAUUUGAAGCACUUUAUGGUAAAGCUUGCCGUACUCCAUUAUGUUGGUCAGAGGUUGGUGAAAGAAUACUUGAAGGGCCAGAGAUUGUGGAUGAGACUACUCAGAAUAUUCAGGUAAUUAAGUCUAACCUGAAAGUGGCCCAGGAUAGGCAAAAGAGCCUAGCGGAUCGACAUACCACGGAUAGAAUGUAUAAUGUGGGCGAUUAUGUAUUUCUGAAAUUAUCGCCUUGGAGAGGUGUGGUUCGCUUUGGGAAGAAAGGAAAGCUAAGUCCCAGGUACAUUGGACCUUAUGAGAUCACUGAGAGGAUUGGUGAAGUUGCUUACAGGUUGGAGCUACCUCCAGUGUUGUCUAAGGUACAUAAUGUGUUCCAUGUCUCAAUGCUUCGGCAUUAUGUUCCAGAUCUUUCACAUGUGAUUCCUCCUCAACCAUUGAAAAUUAAUCCGGACUUGACGUACGAUGAGGAACCAGUGACUAUUAUGGAUUGGAAAGAUAAGACCUUGAGGAAUAAGACCGUGAGCUUGGUAAAAGUAUUGCGGAGGAACCAUUCAGCGGAAGAAGCUACUUGGGAGACAGAAGAACGGAUGAGAGAUAUGUAUCCGAGAUUAUUCUAUGAGUUUUGAUGUUCUGGUUGGUGACUGGAAUUUCGGGGACGAAAUUCUAUAAGGAGGGGAGAUUGUCACAGCCCGUCCCAGAAUUACUAAAUACCGAGGACGUGAAAUUACUGAAACGCCCUUAAACGGGAUUAAGGUGCGUAAAUUUGGUAUUUGUUUUACACUAAGAUCCUAAACUAGGGUUAGAAUUAUAUUAGUAUGUGUUAUUUUAUUUUGUAUUUGGACUUAGGUAGGGUCCUACCUCCCGAAUUCCUUCCCCAUUUCCCGUUUUGUGGUCUCCUUCUCUCUCUCUUUCUUCCUCAUCUCUCUCUCAGUAACACUCCCUCACUCUCUCUCUUACUCUCGAACUCACUCAAGUUCACGGCAAACACCAAGAACAACCAUAAUCUUGCACCAACGUUCCAUGUAAGAUCACCACGACAUUCCUUAGGACCUCACGAGCACGGGAAUACCAGUUUAAGGUAAGUUCCAUUUCGAGAACCCUAGUUUUAAAACACCCCGUGUAAUGGCACUAUUCACAAACUUAAUUAUGGUUGUGUUUUAGGUUAAACAAAGAUCACCACGAGUCUUAGGAAGUUCCAAGAAGGCUCGGAGUGCCUCGUUUGAACAAAAUGGACGUCGGGAUCGUCGGGUUCGAGUUUGGCCGAAAUUGAAGAAUUUUGAAAGGUUUGAUCUUGUUGUUUUUAGGCCUUAAAACCAUCCCAACGUGAUAGUACAUGUGAAAUGCUUCAUUUUGGUAUAAAUUACGUGAAAAAUGGACGAAAAACGAAGGAGAAAAGUGAAAUUGAAAUUUUUCCAAAAACCGGCGAACAGUCACCGGCGACCGGCGACUCGCCGGAGAAGACAGGGAAUAUUCCGUCAAAACUGACGGAAUAUUCCAACGCCGUUACCGUUACCGUUGGGUAUUUAACGGAAUAUUCCGAGAAUAUUCCUGACGGCAGUUACUGUGCCGUCAGUGUGCACAGCACGUGGGCCGCGCGUGGGGGGCGCGUAGACCCGUGCCCUAUUUGGCGCGUGGGGGCGCGUGGGGCAUCCAAAAAUUAUUUUAAAAAUUUGGGGAUGAUCCUGAGGUUGUGUAGGUCACUGUGGUAUAUUCAUAUACCCAAUUUGAGCAUCGUAUGAAGAAUUUAUUACCUAGUUUGGUUUAGGUGCGUUAAAUGUGCGUUAAAUGAUUGUUUUAAGUUAUUUCACUUCUAGGUGGAACUUAUAACGAGGACGAGCACAUCCAGGGGCGUCAAGGGGGUUACGACCCGGCGACAUACCAGUGAGUGGGCAUUGCUUUCUAUAUAUAUACCUAUAUACUCGAUUUCCCCAGAAAUCAAAUUUAAAUGAAAAGUAUAUUGAAAUGAAAUGAAAUAUGAUGUGAUUGCCAUGCGUAGAAUGUUAUGGAUAUUAUGAACUGUCGUAUGAUGCAUAUAUGUAUGAUGGUGCUGUGGAAGCACAGGUAAGUAUUUAAUUAAUAUUAUGAUGAUGAUGAUGAUAUAUUGAGCUCAUAUCCUGCACCAUGGUUUAGUGCUUAUAGUAUUAACCGCAUCGCACGCUCGCCUUGGAUCCAAGUAGAUGCUGGUCGUACAGUCCACGCGGAGUGGGUACGACGGGCCAGUCGUAGAGUGUUAGUGAGAUUAUGACUGGUGGGUGACCUUAGGUUAUUGUAUACAGAUGAUUGAUGAGAGAAGCACUAGAGCGAAUAUUACCAUGAGUCGUUCAGACUACAUUAGGUGGUUCCGACUUAUGUGCAGAAGGCCGGACAGGUCACGCGGAGUGACUCCGGCAGAGUGAGAUUGAUAGAUGUUGAGCUCUAGGUUCAAUCGUUCAGGGCUAUUAGAGGGCCUCCGAUUGAUUACUAUCUUUUACCUGAUUUAUAUUAUCUCAAUGCAUUCAUACUAAACUGUUGAAAUUGACAUGGUACAUUCUUAUUGAAUCUAUUAUAAGAUUGAUGAUCGAGAUAGUUGAGAUAUAUAUGCUAUAUACUAUUUUUCUGGGAAAGUAUACAGGUUUUCCAAAAAGGGGUUAUAACUGUGGAUUUAUGAAAUGAUUUGGAAAAGCUUUAUUUUCGCUCACUCACGUUUUCUAUUUUUCGCCCCUCCAGAUUCUAGUUGAUAGUUGAGGCGUUGGUGGCCUACGAGGACUGCUUCGGCGUUCUGACAGACUAAAUAAAUGUAGGAUUUCACCCGAGGGUGUUGUAAAAUAGUUAUGGUCCUACUUGACUGCACCUAGACGCUUAUGCUCUGUUUAUGUGUGUUUAGUACACUCUUAUGCACAUAGAAUGCUAGGUUGUAAAUAACUGCAAUCAGUGGUUUUAGUUGACUCGUAUUUUAUUAUUAAAUCGUUUCCGCUUGCGUUAUGGUUACGUCACGCUCACGUGACGGCCAACACGUCCUAGUCUUCGGGUUAGGGUGUGUCAGCUAUAGUUUUCCGGAUGCUGUUACAAAAAUGGUGAUACUAUCCACAUAUCUAUUUGGCUUUUGACAUGAAUUUCUUAAUUUUUGACUAUCGGAUCGAAUGAAUUGAAAACGAUUAAAGGAUAAAAAUUAACAAAUGAUAAGUAAAAAAUAAAAAUAAUUAUGUAGACAACACGACUCUUUACAUAAAUGUUGGUUCACGUUUACUAAUCCUUUAUUAAUCACAAUUUGUGAUUACUUUAUGUAAAGUAAUCCAUGCAUGUAAAUAAUUGGAUGUACGUGAUGACACGCACAAUUGCAUGUGCCCAGUUCUUUUCUGUUUGCUUUUAAAUUAUAAACCCUCUGUAAACAGCAAGAAGACAACGCAAAGUAAUGUAAUGCCAUAUUUAUUUAAGGAGUAAUUAGGUUUUCAUCCUUAUUUUUACUACUCUAUUGAUUAAAACCUUAUUACUUUUUAAUUUUUGAUCAAUGUUCUUUGUAUUAAUAAUAUCAUUAAUUAUUUCAAUAA